rnacentral:rRNA from 1 species
AUGACUCCGGCGGUAGGAGGUGGGCUAGGUUGGGGUGGGUCGAGUGAAGUAGGCCGUAGGCGCGUCACCCCUAUAAGACCCGGGUCGUACAGGGCGAUCAAUCCCCAAAUCCCCAGUCCUCUUUCCUUCUCCCGUUCGCUCGCCGCCGCCGCCGCCCACGACCACGACCGCCGGCGGCAGCAGCCAUGCGGCACAUGGCGCUUCCUCCUCGCCCCAUCCGCACAUGUCGCCCGUCAGAUGCUCUGUCACGUCGCGCGGUCAGUCAUGGUGAGGAACAAGAACGAGCUGUUGUCGACGGCGGCGGAGCGGCACGACGGUGCUCAUCCUCACAGCAGGCACACCGGCUACUCGUCCAGCCUCUCCAUGACGCUGUGGAAUCUGUUGACAGAACAACAUGUGCCAAGAUGCAGCCAGCAGCUCCAGCCCCAUGUGCCAAGAUGCGUCCAGCAGGUCAAACGUCAAGGUAACCCGGCCACAUCCGACAGAGCCAAACUGAGGAGGGUGGCCAUGGACGAAGCGCCGGUGGGUAGCAAUGGACGAGCAGAGGAGUUUGCGAGCUGCCAGGGCGCCGUGGAACGCGGUCGUGAACGGCAGGGGAGAGCUGCGGGGGGCGCUGGCCGCGGCCGCGGCGAGCUUGCCGGAGAAGCGAGCAAACGAGUUGCGCUGCGGGCGACGGCGGCGGCGGCGAGCGAACGGGAGAAGGAAAGGGGACCUGAGGAUUUGGGGAAUUCGGCGAGGCUGACGGGAAUCAGGAGGAAACUGGCAAUUUAUUCUGCACAUCCGGGGCUUAUUCUGCUAACACCCUACCCAUCGCUCAAAACACACCCAAUCCCCUCCGACCUCCUCCCGCACAGAACCCCGCAGCCCCAAUCCUCCUCCUGCCUCCUUCCUCCUCGAGCCGCCGGAUCCCCACCCCACCACGCGCCGCUGGAGCCCCGUCUCGCCACGCGCCGCCGGAGCCCCGCCCCGCGCUGCUGGAGCCCAGCCCCAUCCCGCCGCUGCCGCCCAGCCCAGGUACCAACGGAUCCGGCGACAUCCCCAUCGCCAGCCACACAAUCUCCACCGGCGCAGUGGAGCAGCACCACCACCGUGGCCGUGGGCGUGCGAGGGGAUCCCGGGGCUAGUGCGGCCAUGGCCUGGAGCUCGCCCCUCCUCCUGCGCGGGGACGCCAGCUACCGCAGAGCCCAGCUACCAACGGGUCCUGCCGGAUCCCCAGCGCCAGGCACGCCACCUCCUGUUGCAGUCCUCCCUCCCUGUUGCAGGCCAGGCGUCCCGGGCUUCAAGUGCGCCGGGGCACGCGAUGCGGUUUGGCGCGCGUGGCCGUGCAGGUGCAUCACCCCCACUCCCAACAACCACGAGCAGCAGCGCGUAUGGCAGUGGACACAACCGAGUACCCUUCUCCUCUGCUCCCUUCCCCAGCCAACAUCCAUCGAGUUCUUCCCUCUAAUUCUACGGACGAGCUGCACAGAACUGCAGUCAUCCCGAGCCUACCGCCGAGGAGCCGGCGAGCGCGCCCGCGGCGCCACCGCCUACCUCAACCUCGAACCGGGCGACUACUACGGGGACAGCACCGCCGUCUCCUCCCUCGUGCAGUCAUACGCAUUCAGGCAAGAAGAGGAUGAAGAUCUCCACACCUGCCCCCAUGCAGUUCACUCGACGCGCCCGUGUGGUGCGGAGCGCAUCUGCGUGCAGUACGCCUGCCAACCAACUCCACCACGCCCACAGUCCACUCCGUGGUCCAAUGCAAUCCGACGACUCGAUGCAUGCAGCUCGCAUGGUGCGUGUGUGCAGUUUUCAGGCUCGCAGGUGUGUGGUUCUACCAACAACCAACUCCACCGCGGCCCAGCACUCACGCCGGGGAGCUCCUGGACUUCAGCGUCGAGGUGUUCAACAACUGACGCAGAGAUUGGAACGGACACGGCCGCCUUUCCUCAUCGUCUUCAUUGGAAAGCACACCUAGUGGCUGCUCGCGGGCGUGCUACGUGCCGUUCGGCAUCAGCAGCAAUGCGGUUCAGAAUCGCGGUUUGCUUCUGGGUGGCCAAAGGCAGCGACAAUCCAUGA